rnacentral:rRNA from 1 species
AGAGUUUGAUCCUGGCUCAGGACGAACGCUGGCGGCGCGCCUAACACAUGCAAGUCGAACGAGCGAGAGAGAGCUUGCUUUCUCAAGCGAGUGGCGAACGGGUGAGUAACGCGUGAGUAACCUGCCCUGGAGUGGGGGACAACAGUUGGAAACGACUGCUAAUACUGCAUAAGCCCACGGCCCGGCAUCGGGCUGAGGGAAAAGGAUUUAUUCGCUUCAGGAUGGACUCGCGUCCAAUUAGCUAGUUGGUGAGGUAACGGCCCACCAAGGCGACGAUUGGUAGCCGGACUGAGAGGUUGAACGGCCACAUUGGGACUGAGACACGGCCCAG